CAGGUGCUGCAUGGCUGUCGUCAGCUCGUGUCGUGAGAUGUCGGGUUAAGUCCCGUAACGAGCGCAACCCUUGUCCUUAGUUACCAGCACGUUAUGGUGGGCACUCUAAGGAGACUGCCGGUGACAAACCGGAGGAAGGUGGGGAUGACGCCAAGUCAUCAUGGCCCUUACGGCCUGGGCUACACACGUGCUACAAUGGUCGGUACAAAGGGUUGCCAAGCCGCGAGGUGGAGCUAAUCCCAUAAAACCGAUCGUAGUCCGGAUCGCAGUCUGCAACUCGACUGCGUGAAGUCGGAAUCGCUAGUAAUCGUGAAUCAGAAUGUCACGGUGAAUACGUUCCCGGGCCUU
rnacentral:rRNA from 1 species